rfam:Eimeria tenella Houghton genomic scaffold, Eth_scaff203
GUCCGAAUCGUCUAGAGGUUAGGACAACACGUUGUGGCCGUGUAAACCCAGGUUCAAUUCCUGGUUCGGACA